rnacentral:rRNA from 1 species
UACGUAGGGUGCGAGCGUUGUCCGGAAUUACUGGGCGUAAAGAGCUCGUAGGCGGUUUGUCGCGUCUGCCGUGAAAGUCCGGGGCUCAACUCCGGAUCUGCGGUGGGUACGGGCAGACUAGAGUGAUGUAGGGGAGACUGGAAUUCCUGGUGUAGCGGUGAAAUGCGCAGAUAUCAGGAGGAACACCGGUGGCGAAGGCGGGUCUCUGGGCCGAUACUGACGUGAGGAGCGAAAGCGUGGGGGAGCGAACAGG